rnacentral:piRNA from 1 species
UACCUUGAAGCUCAUGGGUCGCCUAGCCUG